GAUGAACGCUGGCGGUAUGCUUAACACAUGCAAGUCGAACGGACUCUUCGGAGUUAGUGGCGGACGGGUGAGUAACGCGUGAGAAUCUGGCUUUGGGUUCGGGACAACCACUGGAAACGGUGGCUAAUACCGGAUGUGCCGAGAGGUAAAAGAGAAAUUGCCUGAAGAUGAGCUCGCGUCUGAUUAGCUAGUUGGUGAGGUAAAGGCUCACCAAGGCAGCGAUCAGUAGCUGGUCUGAGAGGAUGACCAGCCACACUGGGACUGAGACACGGCCCAGACUCCUACGGGAGGCAGCAGUGGGGAAUUGUCCGAAAGGGGCGAAAGCCUGACGGAGCAAUACCGCGUGAGGGAAGAAGGCUCUUGGGUUGUAAACCUCUUUUCUUAGGGAAGAACAAAAUGACGGUACCUAAGGAAUCAGCAUCGGCUAACUCCGUG
rnacentral:rRNA from 1 species